CCUGCUAUACGACUAGUAGUAGCCUAGGAAGACAUGCGUCACUGGUAACGGUGGGGUUUGAAGCUCUUCUAACAAUGAAGCCCCCGGAAGUUUCGGGCAGGUUGGUGUCGUGAGACAUCCACUUGGAGACUCCUAGCAGCAAUGGGGUUGAGGAG
rnacentral:ncRNA from 1 species